AAGUAAGGGCUCAGAUGUCAUCUUUUAGUGCCUUGGACAGUGUGACCUCCCUGUAAACAGGGAUCUGGUCUCUCCAUUUAAGUUGAGUUCCUUUUACUGGGCUGAUGACAAUGAUUGUCCUUUAAGGAGGUGAAUUUAGCUCAGGUGCCUGUGACUCACAGGAAGUACAGCAUCCCUUAGUACUUGGGCAUUGUGGCCACCCUGUAUAGAGGGUUCAGGUUCUGCCUUUUGUUCUUUUGCCACCAUGCUACUUCAGCCAUUUGGUUUGAGUCCUGACCCUGUAAUUAAGGGAUUGUUUGUGUCCUUCUGCCUUCUGGGGGAUAUUGAGCUCUGUGGACCCCUGAGCAGUGUGACCGCCCUGUAACUAGGGUCCCGGUCUUUGCCACUUGCUUUUUUGGCAUUAGGCCAUGCUUGGCUCACUAGUCAGCAUGACAGCCCUGUAAUUAGGGUGCAUGUCACAAGUAACUAUAGAAUAGGACAUAUUGAGUCCUUUGGUACUUUGAGGAGCUCGACCUUCCUGUAAUUCAGGUUACGGUCCCUGCUAUUUGGCUAAUCCCAGCGACCACCCUGUAAUCAGGGUACAGGUGGCAUCUCUCUUUUGAAAUCUUUGGAAUUGGAACCAUUUCAGUAACAUGGGCAGUUUGAACUCCCUGUAACUAGGGUUUGGUCUCCGAGGCCCUUUGGUCUCUUGGCAUUGUGCUUUCUUCACAGCCUGAGGCGAGUGACCGCCCUGUAAUCAGGCAAUCUGUUCUUGGCCCUCUGGUCUCUUCGCACUAGGUCAAGUGCAGCCCACUGAUCUGAAUGAGCACCCUGUAAACAGGGUACAGGUCUCAUCAGACACUAUUUAUGGUGCCCCCAUGAGACUGUGUCCAGAGUCCUGGCCCUUCACACUGCGCUUCCAACUUGCCUGGAAUUGUGCAGCCAAGUCUCCUGCUUUCUGCUCCGCUUACUGUGCUUUUGGAGACCCGACAUCCUGCUGCUGUUGCUGGCAGCUCCGAGCACAAGUGGACAAGAAGGAAGUGUCAGAAACGUCAAGCAAAGAAGAGUAACGAGGACAAGUCACUGAAGAUGGAGGAGAAGGAAAGGGACUCUGGGCACUGUAACCUCCCUGUAUCAAGCCUCAGGUCAUGUAAUUACACUGUAUGGGGAUCUCGAGCCUUUUAAUACCUUGAGCAGCGUGACCGCCCUGUAAUCAGGAUCCAGGUCUGUGCUGUUUUGUCCUUUCAACAUUAUGCUCCAUUAGCUGGCUAGUGAGAGUGACUGCCCUGUAAUCAGGGUGCAAGUCACCCCCUCCCCUCGCUUUCAAGGGAAUUGAGCUCUUUGGUAACUUGAGCAAUGUGACCGCCCUGUAACUAGGGUCCAGGUCUUUGCCCGCUUGCUCGUUUGGCAUUACGCCGUACACUGGCCGACUACUCAGUGUGACCGCCCUGUAAUUAGGGAGCAGGUCACAAAUAUCUAUAGAAUGGGACAUAUUGAGUCCUUUGGUACUUUGAGGAGCUCGACCUUCCUGUAAUUCAGGUUACGGUCUCUGCUAUUUUGCUAAUUCCAGCGACCACUCUGUAAUCAGGGCACAGGUGGCAUCUCUCUUUUGAAUUCUUCGGAAUUGGAACCAUUUCAGUAACAUGGGCAGCUUGAACUCCCUGUAACUAGGGUUUGGUCUCCAAGGCCCUUUGGGUCUCUUGGCAUUGUGCUUUCUUCACAGCCUGAGGCGAGUGACCGCCCUGUAAUCAGGGAUCUGGUCUUUGCCCUCUAUUCUCUUGGCACUAGGUCAAGUGCAGCCCACUGAUCUGAAUGAGCACCCUGUAAACAGGGUACAGGUCUCAUCAGACACUAUUUAUGGUGCCCCCAUGAGACAGUGUCCAGAGUCCUGGCCCUUUGCACUGCGCUUCCAUCUUGCCUGGAAUUGUGCAGCCAAGUCUCCUGCUUUCUGCUCCGCUUACUGUGCUCUUCGAUACCCGACAUCCUGCUGCUUUUGCUGGAGAAUGGGACAAAACCGAAAAACGAGAAAAGAGACGCUAAUAGCCUGUGAAGAAGAAGAAAGGAAACAAAUUCUGAGAGCAAAGUACAGUUGUGUGAUCUAUUUCAAAGGGUUUAUACCACGUCCAGCACCAUGGUAUAUGAGUGCAUUGGAAAGAUAAAUUGAACAAAGUGACUAGCAUCUGUCACCUUUCAAAUGCUGAUUAAUGUUAAUAGACAAUAUAUAACAAACUCUGAAGCUCAAUUACUUGUGGCACCACAGCACAGCCUGAAGACUGGAUAACAGUUUCCUGCUACGAUCUUUCAGUUCUGUAAUUAGCUGUGCCACAUGAGAACUGAUAUAUCAUCUUAUUUUAUAAUCAUGUAUGUCCUCUCUAAUUGUCUUUUACUAAUGAGUCCAUAAAGCAUGCUUUGUGCAUCACACUUUCACAUUCUAGUAGAAAAGUGGGAUGUAUUUUUAAUUUAAUUAAUUAACUUUAAUCUUUAUGAUUCUUUGACAAGUCAUUUUCAUGUCAUUGCUUGGUGAUUUGGACUUCUGUUUAGCAAGAAGUCAGUUUUAUUUCCUUAAAGUCUCUGUAAGCUACAACAAGUUGUUCAAAGCUAAAAAAACGAUUUGAAAAAGAUGGAAGAAAACUGAGAUGUAGGGUAGCCACCCUGAAGAGUGUUGGAAAACCUUUUUCAGUAGGCACACUAUUGACCUUUCUCUCAGCUCAUUUUUAUACCAAAAUAGUACCAUAGCAAUGAUCCCAUGUGAAAUUAUACUAAGUUUCUACCUAUCGCCAAUUAGAAAUUGUCAAUAUAACUGGUUAUUUGCAUCUAAAUGUUGAUUUCAUGUAGCUAUGUAACCAAGUAUUUUAAAAGUAUUUUACCAAGUUGACUACCUGAUUUUAUGUAAAAGAGUUACACAUAUCUUAGAAAACAUGUUCCUUUGACUUAAUUGUGGGCAACUAAUGCUUUAUGUACUUUUGUUUUUACUAACAGGUUUGUCAGUAGACAUAAAGGAAAAAUUGUGACUCUGUAAUACAGAGACCUUAAACAAACAAGCACUACUAUUAUUAAAAAUAAAUCAUAAUUUCCUACUGGAAGUGCAAAGAUGUAACUGAAGGGAAGGCAUGUGUUUGUAUUCUCCACUCACCUCAAGCCGCCCCCCAAAAAAACUCUUCAAAAAAGUUAAUGUCGAAAAGAUUACAGUUUACUCCAGAUACCGUCUAACUUAAUAUUUUUAAAGCUCUGUAUCACACACACAUUGCUAAAAAGUAAACAAAACUAAAAGUUGUUCUGGAAACUGGCAGUUACUCUCCCCACUUCACAACUUUCAAACACCUACUCUACUUCAACAGUCACACCAACCAAACUGUACCACACAUUCAAUUUUAACUUUGCACCUAUUGUGUCAGAAGAGCUAGAGUAUUUUUUGGUAGUUGUGUAUAUUGAUGUAUAUGGUAAUAGUGGUAUUUUAAUAGGUUUUUAUGCUUAUUGAAUUAAGUGGACGCUCAAGGAUGAUGAUGUGGAUGUUUUAGGUAGGCAUUUUUCUGUGAAGUGUUAGUAUUUUUGUAGAGGUGCGGUAUUUUGUGAUGAUGACUGUUUUUCAGGUAAUGGUUUACAGUGAAUUGUUGAAAAUUGUAGAUGUUUUUGUAUAUGUACAUUAUUAGAUGUACUUAGAGUGCAAAGUUGAGGUUGCCUGUUUGGUGCAAUUUUAUUGGUGUGAAAGUUAAUUUAGGAUAGGUGUUUGAAAGCACUGAGGUUUGAAUUUUAAGCUCAUCAGGGAUCCAGGAUCUACCUGGCUACCUCAGUUCUUACUGUCAUUACUAAUUCCAAAAUCUGGGAUGAAGGUGACCCAGCAGAAUAAAGAUAUCUCCAGAGACUUUCAGAAGUUAGCAUUUCUGCAGCUGUAGGGGAUCCCUUAAACCUUAUUGAACUAUUUGAAAUGUAAUAACUGGAAAACUUUUGACUUCUAUUUCUGCCAGUUAAGUGUUGAACAAUGACCUCUAUUAAAAGAUUUAUACUGUUAGUUAAUUCUGUUCUGUACUAAGAUCUUGCUAAUAUCGCCAUUUUAUGUGUGAAAUGAAUUAACUAGAUUUGAUUAUACCUACUUGAUAAAUAUUGGAAUAUUCCAUGUUAAAUUCAUAGAUUUAACUUUGAUUGUCAUAUCAACUUACUUUGCUAUCUAUAACUCCUUGUUUAUUAAUAUAUUUAUUAAUAGU